rnacentral:rRNA from 1 species
ACUACGGGAGGCAGCAGUGAGGAAUAUUGGUCAAUGGACGGAAGUCUGAACCAGCCAUGCCGCGUGCAGGAAGACGGCUCUAUGAGUUGUAAACUGCUUUUGUACAAGGGUAAACCUGAAUACGUGUAUUCAGCUGAAAGUACUGUACGAAUAAGGAUCGGCUAACUCCGUGCCAGCAGCCGCGGUAAUACGGAGGAUCCAAGCGUUAUCCGGAUUUAUUGGGUGUAAAGGGUGCGUAGGACGAUUGCGAAGUUAGAGGUGAAAUGUCCGAGGUUAAUCCGGGAACCGCCUCUAAUACUGUUGAUCUAGAGAGUAGGUGCGGUAGGCGGAAUGUAUGGUGUAGCGGUGAAAUGCUUAGAGAUCAUACAGAACACCGAUUGCGAAGGCAGCUUACCAAUCUAUAUCUGACGUUGAGGCACGAAAGCGUGGGGAGCAAACAGGAUUAGAUACCCUUGUAGUC